CGCCAGACUCCUACGGGAGGCAGCAGUGGGGAAUAUUGCACAAUGGGGGAAACCCUGAUGCAGCGACGCCGCGUGAAGGACGAAGUAUUUCGGUACGUAAACUUCUAUCAGCAGGGAAGAAAAUGACGGUACCUGACCAAGAAGCCCCGGCUAACUACGUGCCAGCAGCCGCGGUAAUACGUAGGGGGCAAGCGUUAUCCGGAUUUACUGGGUGUAAAGGGAGCGUAGACGGCCAUGCAAGUCUGAUGUGAAAACCCGGGGCUCAACCCCGGGACUGCAUUGGAAACUGUGCGGCUGGAGUGUCGGAGAGGCAAGUGGAAUUCCUAGUGUAGCGGUGAAAUGCGUAGAUAUUAGGAGGAACACCAGUGGCGAAGGCGGCUUACUGGACUGUAACUGACGUUGAGGCUCGAAAGCGUGGGGAGCAAACAGGAUUAGAUACCCCGGUA
rnacentral:rRNA from 1 species